rnacentral:rRNA from 1 species
UACGUAGGGGGCAAGCGUUGUCCGGAUUUAUUGGGCGUAAAGAGCGUGUAGGCGGCCAGGUAGGUCUGCUGUGAAAACUCGAGGCUCAACCUCGAGAUGUCGGCGGAAACCAUCUGGCUAGAGUCCGGAAGAGGAGAGUGGAAUUCCUGGUGUAGCGGUGAAAUGCGCAGAUAUCAGGAAGAACACCCGUGGCUAAGGCGGCUCUCUAGUACGGUACUGACGCUGAGACGCGAAAGCGUGGGGAGCGAACAGG